rnacentral:rRNA from 1 species
GACGGAGGGUGCAAACGUUGUUCGGAAUUACUGGGCGUAAAGCGCGUGUAGGCUGCUUCGCAAGUCGGAUGUGAAAGCCCUGGGCUCAACCCAGGAAGUGCAUUCGAAACUGCAGAGCUGGAGUCCUGGAGAGGAAGGCGGAAUUCUCGGUGUAGAGGUGAAAUUCGUAGAUAUCGAGAGGAACACCGGUGGCGAAGGCGGCCUUCUGGACAGUGACUGACGCUGAGACGCGAAAGCGUGGGGAGCAAACAGG